CCGCCGUCACCGUUGUCGAAGAGGCCCCAAAGAGAAGAGAAGUUGGUGAGGCAAGACGGUCGGUGGAGAAUGGGAGGCGCCAGGAGAUCGAUGGCCGAGGAAGUGGUCGUGUGGGCGGCGGAGGACGAACACUGGACGGAGUGGAGAUGCCGGAAGCACACAUCCUCCUCCCAGCCCCGUGAUGGCAUUUGCCCUGGCUGCCUCCGCGACCGCCUCCUCCGCCUCUGUCCCGACUGCGCCAACGAACGCCCCUGCAGCUGCUUCCGCCCCUCCUCCUCCUCUUCCUCCUGCUCCUCCGUUUCCUCCAUCUCGCUCGCCGAUCUCGCGGGAUCCGCCGGAGGCGGCGCCGGGAUCGGGGCAGUGGGACUCGUGUCGAGGUUGAUCGACAGCGAGCCGGCGUUCCGGCGGUCCAGAUCCGUCGGCUUCCAGCUCCUACGAACGAGAUCGGUCGCCAGACACGUCGACGGCGGGGAAGCUCCGCGGCGGCCGAAUCGAGGGAGGAGGUGGGCGUUGUUCUGGCCCUUCCCGAGGGCGGCGGGCGGGAAGGAGUCAGCGGCGGAGCUAUCGAGGUCAAGGUCGGUGGGGGCGGCGGGAUUGGCAGGACCCGGCUGCGGGGAGGACAGGGGAAAAGCAUGGGGGUGGCAUUUCCCGAGCCCAAUGAACGCUUUCCGGCACCGGCGGUCGACGAAGCUCGUACAUGAGAGGUCGCCGUUGUACUUAUUCCGCGGGUGACAGAAACGCUAAACGAGUUUUGUAGGGUACCGGCCAGUAAUGAACAACGCGACACUAAACUACGGCCAAAGGUUGCACGAUUUAUACGUGUCCAAUGUGUUGAGUCUCUGAACUAUUCUGUGCCACACAAACUGGUUUCUUCUACCUCUCCCAUCUUCAGUAAAUUACGCUCUCAGAGACACCCAUCCUCUCUGCAAGGGUUCGAAAUGGCAUUUGCAGAUGGUUCCCACUUCACAUUGUUAUGAAAGUUGAGACAAGCAUUUAUGACUCCCACUUUAUCCCAGUACUAAAUUGGUGACAUCCCACAUGCUCUGUCUCGGACUAGCGUAAGGCUGAAUACUCGAUGCCACAGCCAUUCCACAGGCUUCUCCACAGUCCAUUGUCCGUAGGAAUGUGGAAGGUCGAAGGAGAGAUGAGAAGCGUUCCUUCUGCUUUUGUUCUCUCAAUUAGUGUGAUGGCCAUCAUUCCUCUCGAUGAUUAAACCUCGGCGUGGAAACAGAACCUCUGUUGAACCAAUCAGAGAAGUCACCGAACAAUUUAAAGGUCAUGAUCAAUAUAAAAAGGUUAUCAGCAACUACCCCUUUCGGCGCAUGAUCUUAAAUAAACCCACACGUAUGCACAUGAAACAGUGGCCGUUGCACCUGCCUUUCGAUAAUGGUUUUGGGAAGAUGGGAGUCACGGCCACCGUUAGAGCCGUCUUUAGGGGAACGAGACGGUAGGCUUACCCGAUGUGACUAAAAGCUGAAGCGCGACUCCUUUUACAGGCGCAUCCACAUGGCAUCAAAAAUCGUGCCGACUGCGUCCUCCCAAUUUCCACCCUUCAGAUCUCCACCGUGUCCGGACAAGAGUUCACGUGCACCGUCGCCAGCUACCCUGGAUCCUCUUCAAGCGAACCAGUGUCUCACCUCUCCCUCGCUGUGUUCGUCCUCUGCGCCCGCGCUUCAUGGUACCCAAAAACCCUAGAAGCCCUAGCAGCGGCGCCAUGAACGGGUCUUGCUGUAAGCUAGAGGACGGGUUCCCGGCGUUGCAGCUUUUCGGCCAGGGCGUCUCCUACACCUAUGACGACGUCAUCCUUCUUCCUGGCUACAUCGACUUCCCCGCCGACGCCGUCGACCUCUCUACCCGCCUCUCCCGCCGCCGCUCCCUUGCCAUCCCCUGCGUCGCCUCCCCCAUGGACACCGUCUCCGAAGCCGCCAUGUCCGUCGCAAUGGCCGCCCUCGGCGGCGCCGCCAUCGUCCACUGCAACAACGCCCCCGACAGCCAGGCCGCCAUUGUCCGCGCCGCCAAGGCCCGCCGUAUCCCCUUCGCCACCGACCCCGUCUUCCUCUCCCCCUCCGACUCCGUCUCCGACUUCGGCCCUGCUGCUUACGCAAUCGUCACCGAGUCCGGGACCUCCAAGUCGAGGGUCGUGGGCGUCGUCGCCAAGUCCGAUUGGGAGGGCCUAGCGAAUAGGAAUACUCUGGUUUCCGAGUACAUGCUGCAUGCGCCAGUGUCGGCUCCGGCGAGCUACGACUUCGAAAAGGUGGCGUCUUUCCUGGCCGGCGGGGGAUUGGAGUACGCGCCGUUGGUGGCGGAAGAUGGGGAGGUCGUUGAUCUGGUCACCAAGGAAGACGUGGAGAGGAUCAAGGGAUUCCCAAGGCUGGGAGUGCCAUCCCUGGGCGCCGAUGGGAGGUUCGUUGUGGGGGCGGCAAUAGGAACCCGGGAGACCGAUAAGGAGAGGCUGGAGCAUCUGGUGAAGGCCGGGACGAAUGUGGUGGUGGUGGAUAGCUCGCAGGGUAACUCCAUAUACCAAAUCGAGAUGAUCAAGUAUGCCAAGAGUAUGUACUCGGAGUUGGAUGUCAUCGGAGGAAAUGUUGUCACAGUUGCACAGGCGCAGAAUCUGAUCAAGGUCGGGGCUGAUGGGUUGAGGGUGGGCAUGGGAUCGGGGUCCAUAUGUACCACUCAGGAGGUUUGUGCUGUGGGCAGAGGACAGGCAACAGCAGUGUAUAAGGUUGCAUCUUUUGCAAAGGAACAUGAUGUGCCUGUUAUCGCUGAUGGUGGGAUCUCGAAUUCUGGACACAUUGUGAAAGCUUUGACUCUAGGGGCUUCGACUGUUAUGAUGGGCAGUUUUUUAGCUGGUAGCAGUGAGGCGCCUGGUGUUUAUGAGUAUCUGAAUGGUCACCGAGUGAAGAAGUAUAGGGGCAUGGGUUCUUUAGAAGCAAUGACAAAGGGUAGUGAUGCACGGUAUUUGGGCGACACACUAAAACUCAAGGUUGCUCAAGGAGUUGUUGGUGCUGUAGCUGACAAAGGCUCCAUAUUGAAGUUUAUCCCUUACACUAUGCAAGCCGUGAAGCAAGGAUUUCAGGAUCUUGGUGCAUCCUCUUUGCAGUCGGUUCAUGAUCUGCUACAUUCAGAGGUGCUAAGAUUCGAGGUCCGAACAGGGGCUGCACAGGUAGAGGGAGGAGUGCAUGGCUUGGUUUCAUUCGAGAAGAAGUUCUUCUGAACAUUACCACAAAAAACUCACAGAUUAUCCUGUUCGUUUGAUCCUUGGUUCAGUGAAUGCUAGAGAGGCCAAAGUUCUAAUAACAUUGACGUCUUGUACCCAAAAUCCUCUCGAGUUUUGAUUCUGCUAUCUGAUUGAAAUAAUGAAGACGCCAUUUGCUAAUGGGUUUUUCUUACCGCUGCCUGGCAUCAGCGCCACAGCCGCAGCCUCCACGCUCUCUCCAUAUCCAGCUUCUUCCCCAGCUGCCUGCGCUUCCUGGCGGCGGAAGGUGUAUGCACUCGGUGUAAGCGCUCGCUUCGUCUGGCUUUCCGCGGACGAGGGAGUAGGGCACAUGGUGUGGCCCAGUCCCACAAUCUUCCUCUCCGGUAUUGCGCUUCCUCUGGCUUGCACGUUGGCCUGAGAUGAGAAUUAUUCUCUCUCUCUCUCUCUCUCUCUCUGGUGGAACAGAGUGGAUUCACUGCCACUUGGUGCCUCGGCGUUGAGCGGGUCGUGGGUGGUGUCUCGUCUCAACCUCUUCUGCACCCACCAACCACAGGCCAUUCCCGUAAAGCUUUCCCCACUACCGCUCGUGCUGAUGCCUCUCAGAUUCCUGUAGCAGAGCUUCUGGAAAACAGGUCUUCGGACGGGGAUCACGGUCCCUGUUCCUGCACCGAUAGACUCGAGUACUGCAGCAAACAAUUCCUUGCCUCUGGUUCUCCUUCAGCUGCUGAGAGCAUGCGAGGUGAGGAGGCAUCUCCGGUCACCGACCAGUGUGAUACGAGCUCAGCAUUCCUUGGCACAAAAUGUCAACCGUAUGCAGAACUGGAAAGGUUCUUCUGUUCUUAAUGGGAGGCCAUAGUGGUGGUGGGCCAGUUGUAGAAGACAGGGUGCGGAAGACCACUGACAUGGUUGUUUGCCCUGUGGUGUGCUCCGGUUGGUUCCUGGAGAUGGGGCUCGUUUCAGUCUCCAGAUGUCCAGAAAUUAUUGGUCGAUGUCGUAGGUGAGAUCAGUCGUCCAACUUGAGUUGGCGGUAGAUAACCGCACCUUUGUCUAUCGUCGGAGUGGUGGGGAUUGCUUCACAGUCGCUCAGGUAAGAUCGCCUCCGUGUCCUCUACGUUUUAGUUCUAAAAUACCUUACACGAUGCUGUCGUUGGAUACUCACUGACUGUGAAGUCUCUCCCCAAAACAAGCAAGUUUUAGAUACGCGGGGGUGGUCUCAAAUUGAAAUUGCAUGGAAGAAGGGUAUAUAAUACACCUUCUAAGCAGAGAAAGUAUAGGGCAGGAUGGAAUGCGUGACGCAGGUGGCAUAUCACUUGCAACUAAUGUGCACAACAGCGGAAGCGCAGAAACUAUGCUUGGGGGGUUGGGGAGCAAAGAAGCACCCCAUGUGCUCGAGCACCACUCCACAGCUAGUCUUCUUGAUGCGUCGAUCACCAAGGACGACGCCCGCUUCCUUCUCCGCCUCUAUAAAUUGCUCCCUCCACUUCCUCGAUCCAUCGAAGGUGGCAGGCAUCUCGAGUCCUCCACACAAGCUUGG